CUACGGGUUGCUGCAGUGAGGAAUAUUGCACAAUGGGGGGAACCCUGAUGCAGCAACGCCGCGUGGAGGAUGACGCAUUUCGGUGUGUAAACUCCUUUUAUAUGUCAAGAAAAUGACGGUAGCAUAUGAAUAAGCACCGGCUAACUCCGUGCCAGCAGCCGCGGUAAUACGGAGGGUGCAAGCGUUCCUCGGAAUCACUGGGCGUAAAGGACGCGUAGGCGGGUUGGAAAGUCAGGUGUGAAAUCCUACAGCUUAACUGUAGAACUGCACUUGAAACUUCUAAUCUAGAGUAUGGGAGGGGGAGAUGGAAUUAGUGGUGUAGGGGUAAUAUCCGUAGAUAUCACUAGGAAUACCUAAAGCGAAGGCGAUCUCCUGGAACAUUACUGACGCUAAGGCGUGAAAGCGUGGGGAGCAAACAGGAUUAGAUACCCGCGUAGUC
rnacentral:rRNA from 1 species